UGGGGAAUAUUGCACAAUGGGCGCAAGCCUGAUGCAGCGACGCCGCGUGAGGGAUGAAGGCCUUCGGGUUGUAAACCUCUUUCAGCAGGGAAGAAGCGCAAGUGACGGUACCUGCAGAAGAAGCGCCGGCUAACUACGUGCCAGCAGCCGCGGUAAUACGUAGGGCGCAAGCGUUGUCCGGAAUUAUUGGGCGUAAAGAGCUCGUAGGCGGUUUGUCGCGUCUGCUGUGAAAACUCGAGGCUCAACCUCGGGCUUGCAGUGGGUACGGGCAGACUAGAGUGCGGUAGGGGAGACUGGAAUUCCUGGUGUAGCGGUGGAAUGCGCAGAUAUCAGGAGGAACACCGAUGGCGAAGGCAGGUCUCUGGGCCGCAACUGACGCUGAGGAGCGAAAGCAUGGGGAGCGAACAGGAUUAGAUACCCUGGUAGUCCAUGCCGUAAACGUUGGGCACUAGGUGUGGGGCUCAUUCCACGAGUUCCGUGCCGCAGCAAACGCAUUAAGUGCCCCGCCUGGGGAGUACGGCCGCAAGGCUAAAACUCAAAGAAAUUGACGGGGGCCCGCACAAGCGGCGGAGCAUGCGGAUUAAUUCGAUGCAACGCGAAGAACCUUACCAAGGCUUGACAUACACCGGAAACUUCCAGAGAUGGUUGCCCCGCAAGGUCGGUGUACAGGUGGUGCAUGGUUGUCGUCAGCUCGUGUCGUGAGAUGUUGGGUUAAGUCCCGCAACGAGCGCAACCCUCGUCCUAUGUUGCCAGCGGGUCAUGCCGGGGACUCAUAGGAGACUGCCGGGGUCAACUCGGAGGAAGG
rnacentral:rRNA from 1 species